ACCUAAGCGGGAGAAGAAUAUCAGAAGAGAUAGCUUACGUGUGGCAGCUACGCCUUUAUAGCAACAUUGCUUUUUGGUCCUUUGGCGUUGACUCUUCCUAUCGUACCGAAGCAGAAUUCUGUAUUGUAUACCCACUAAUAGGGAACAAGACUUGCUGGAGUUUAUACCGUCGUGAGAGAGGUUAGUUUUACCCUGCUUAUGAAAAGAUGCUGCAAUAAACAGCUAGUACUAGAGGAACCGUUCAUCCAGGUAAUUGAUUAGUACCAGUGCCUUCCUGAGCAGUCAAUGACCUCAAGUCCCCAUCCGUUGGGUUAUGGCUGGACGCAUCCAAGUUGGAAUCCGUGCUAGAACGUGGCGAUUACCACCUUUUCCGAUUUCUCUAGUUGAAUACAAAUACAUACAAAUAGAGGGCACACACAGCUACGCCUAAACCACCCUUUCUAGUUGGAUAAGAAAUGCGAACCUACGUUCGCGGCGACGUGAGAAGUUGAGUAGCCCUUCUUUACUUUACCCGUUAGUCCACGAUACAGUGGUGAUCGAUACUUCGGCCUGGGACCAUACAGGUUAAAGCAAGGCUUUUGUUAUCGUGCUGAAAG
rfam:Mortierella elongata AG-77 unplaced genomic scaffold K457scaffold_26, whole genome shotgun sequence.